CAGAACUGCUGCAGAGGUGCUGCAUGGCUGUCGUCAGCUCGUGUCGUGAGAUGUUGGGUUAAGUCCCGCAACGAGCGCAACCCUUACCCGUAGUUGCCAGCGCGUCAUGGCGGGAACUCUACGGGGACUGCCCGGGUUAACCGGGAGGAAGGUGGGGAUGAUGUCAAGUCCUCAUGGCCCUUAUGUCCAGGGCUACACACGUGCUACAAUGGGCGAUACAAACCGUUGCAAAGUCGCGAGAUGGAGCUAAUCGGAGAAAGUCGUCCUCAGUUCGGAUUGUAGUCUGCAACUCGACUACAUGAAGGUGGAAUCGCUAGUAAUCGUGUAUCAGAAUGAUACGGUGAAUACGUUCCCGGGCCUU
rnacentral:rRNA from 1 species